rnacentral:lncRNA from 1 species
AGAGUCUGCUAGAGGUGAGGAGUGUGCAGGUCAGCAUUUCCUUCCACUCAGAUACAUGAGCCCUCUCCUUUUCAUUUCUAGGGUUCUCUUGGCCCCAGCCCCACAGUUCCUGGUUGGUGCCCCUCCCACAGUGCCGUUAUUUAAAAUAGUGCUUCUUACCCUUGGAGGUAAUGUUAAUUGGAACGAGAUGCAGGACCGAGUGCUUCUCUAAGGAAAGAAGGGAGGACACGGCAGUGUUGACCUGCCCCGGAGUCCACCCUCCACCCUCACCUCAGCUCUGCUCCGCAUUCCUCCUGCUCCUGGGUCACCGCCAACCCCACCAAAACCCCAGGGCCCGCUCACUCUUGUGCUUCUGGCUUAGGCUGGCCGCAGACGCUGGAUGCCGGUGAAGAUGAACUUGGAUUCCUCACGCUGGGGUUAUGGCAUGUCCAACCUGCAGACAUCAGAGGACCUCAUCAGACUCUUGGGAAAGCCUGGCCUUGCAUGGCUCCUGAGCCUGCCUCCUCCACACAAUUAUGCUUUGAGGCCUACUAAGGCCUAAAUGCAGUAUACUACCAGGGGCAAUGAGUCCCCGACUCCACUGUAAAAUUGUCUUCCUGUGUGGUGCCAUGUAUCUUGGGCUCUCUUACCGUCAUCUUGUCAUCUAGUACUGUAAUUAUGCAUUUACAGACUGUC